UGGGAAUUUUGGACAAUGGGCGCAAGCCUGAUCCAGCCAUGCCGCGUGCGGGAAGAAGGCCUUCGGGUUGUAAACCGCUUUUGUCAGGGAAGAAAUCUUCUGAGUUAAUACCUCGGGAGGAUGACGGUACCUGAAGAAUAAGCACCGGCUAACUACGUGCCAGCAGCCGCGGUAAUACGUAGGGUGCAAGCGUUAAUCGGAAUUACUGGGCGUAAAGCGUGCGCAGGCGGUUUUGUAAGACAGAGGUGAAAUCCCCGGGCUCAACCUGGGAACUGCCUUUGUGACUGCAAGGCUUGAGUGCGGCAGAGGGGGGAUGGAAUUCCGCGUGUAGCAGUGAAAUGCGUAGAUAUGCGGAGGAACACCGAUGGCGAAGGCAAUCCCCUGGGCCUGCACUGACGCUCAUGCACGAAAAGCGUGGGGAGCAAAACAGGAUUAGAUACCCCUGGUAGUCCACGCCCUAAACGGAUGUCAACUGGUUGUUGGGAAGGUUCCUUCUCAGUAACGUAGCUAACGCGUGAAGUUGACCGCCUGGGGAGUACGGCCGCAAGGUUGAAACUUAAAUGAAUUGAC
rnacentral:rRNA from 1 species